UCACAGAGAAGUAUGGGCUCCUGCAAAGUGUAAACUUGGAGUUUCCUUGACUUAGAAGUGAAAGAACAGCAGGAUUGGAGACUGUGUCUUCUGGAAGAUUUUUUGGAAUCCGUCUGGUGGGCAAGCUCUUUGUAAAUAAUGAUGUCUUAGAAUAGUUGUCAUUACUCUUUACUGAUUCUUCAGAGAAUAUCUAAUCAUUAACUUUUUAAAGAUUCAUUGGCUUGGAAGAUAACUUUCCUAAUGCUAUAGAAGCUACAUCCCAGGAGAAAGUCACUGGCCCAAUGAAUGUCUCUGAGCCAAAUUCCAGCUUUGCUUUAGUAAAUGAAUUUAUACUCCAAGAUUUAUCUUUUGAGUGGACAAUUCAGAUCUUCCUCUUCUCACUCUUCACUACAACAAAUGCACUGACCAUAACAGGAAAUGGAGCCAUUGCUUGCGCCCUGUGGUGUGACCGGCGACGUCACACUCCCAUGUACAUGUUCCUGGGAAAUUUCUCCUUUUAAGAGAUAUGGUAUGUCUCUUCUACAGUUCCCAAGAUGUUGGUCAACUUCCUUUCAGAGAAAAAAACCAUCUCCUUUGCUGGAUGUUUUCUCCAAUUUUAUUUCUUCUUCUCUUUGGGUACAUCUGAAUGCUUGAUUUUGACUGUGAUGGCCUUUGAUCAGUACCUUGUUAUCUGCCAUCCCUUGCACUAUCCUAAUAAAUCAUGACUGGGCAUCUCUGUGCCAAACUGGUCAUACUGUGCUGGGUUUGUGGAUUUCUGUGUUUCCUGAUCCCCACUGUUCUCAUCUCUCAGAUGCCCUUCUGUGGUCCAAACAUUAAUGACCAUGUUGUGUGUGACCCAGGG
rnacentral:lncRNA from 1 species